GGUUCUAGAAAGAGUUGAGCGGUGUCGGCGGCAGCGUUGAAGAGGCUGCGGAUCAGAGCUUGUCUCUUUAAUCGUUUUUUUUUAAGCCAUAACGCGAACUUUUAUCGAUGUAACGUUAUUUACGAAGCGCUUGAGUUGAAGUAUAGCCUUUUUAUUUAAAAAAAUAUUUUUUCGAGCAGGAUGGAGAACAGGGAUAAGGAACAGUAUCGCAAGCUGUUCAUAGGUGGUCUCAGCUUUAAUACUACUGAAGAAAAUUUGAGAGGCCACUUUGAGCAAUGGGGAAAGCUUACAGACUGUGUGGUCAUGAGGGAUCCUCAGACCAAGCGAUCAAGAGGCUUUGGAUUUGUGACAUUCUCUACUCCUGAAGAAGUUGAUGAUGCAAUGGCUGCUAGGCCUCAUAAAAUUGAUGGUCGUGUAGUGGAGCCUAAACGAGCAGUCGCAAGAGAAGAAUCUGGGAAACCAGGAGCUCACCUGACUGUGAAGAAACUAUUUGUUGGUGGAAUAAAAGAUGACACAGAUGAACACCACCUCAGGGCAUACUUCAAGAACUACGGAAAAAUUGAAACCAUUGAAGUAAUAACAGACCGCCAAAGUGGGAAAAAGAGGGGUUUUGCAUUUGUAUCGUUUGAUGACCAUGAUCCUGUUGACAAAGUAGUCCUUCAAAAGUAUCAUUAUGUUAAUGGACACAAUGCGGAAGUAAGAAAAGCUUUGUCUCGUCAAGAAAUACUGGAGGCACAAAGUAACAGGUCAGGACGAGGAGGUGGUGGCUUUAGAGGAGACUCUCGUGGAGGUGGCAAUUUUCCUAUGGGACGUGGAGGAAACUUUGGAGGUGGCCCUAAUGGAUAUGGGGGUGGUCGUGGUUUUGGCGAUGGCCCUGGUUUCAAUGGUUAUGGUGGAGGCGGUGGUAACUUCGGAGGCCCAGGUUUUGGUGGAGGCCCUGGCUUUGGUGGUGGAUUUGGCAACCAUGGUGGUGGCUAUGAUGGAGGUGGAAAUUAUGGUGGAAAUUUUGGAGGAGGUGGUAACUACAAUGAUUUUGGAAAUUACCAUCAUCAGAACUCUAAUUUUGGACCAAUGAAAGGUGGAAACUAUGGAGGAAGAAAUAUGGGUGGACCAUAUGGAGGGAACUAUGGUGGUGGAAAUGGUGGUGGAUUUGGUGGCCGUAACAGAUAUUAAUUCAGUAACAACCCAUUCCAAGGGUUAUAGUAUCUGAAGGUGGGUGUUGAUUGUCCACUGGAUCUUAAACUGUGAGCUGCCAGACUUCAUUCCACAUGUGAUCAGAACCAUCCUCAGCCAGCAUCUGACCUCUAUCAACUGGUCUGAGCUGCACUGAAACUGAAAUCACAGUGGAGAGGGCAGUGAUCUAGGCUAUAAGCCAUAUGAUCAGUUUUGUUCUCUACUGAAGUAGGAGCUGAUACGGAAUUCAAUGGAUUGUGGAUGUUUUUGACAAGGAUGCAGAGUUCAGUAAAUUGAUAGUUUUCCAUUCAGUGACAGGUUUUAAAGGUAGUUUUGAUCAGAAGCUUUAAUUUAGUAAUAAGAUACAGGGGAUAUAGCAAUUCACUCACCACACUGCUCUCAUUAUAGUUUCUCAGUUGUUACUGCUAUCUUUGGAGACUGUAUGGAUGAAAAUGAUAAGCAUUAAUGAUAAAUUGCAUGGAAACAGUAACGAAUGGAAAUUACUUCUUAAAGUUGCAAGAGUCUAAAAACGGAGUCACAGGUACAAAAGGCAAAUUUAGAACUUGGAUUAGGAAGUUCUUCAGACAGCAGGUAAUCAAUAUAUUGACUAGGCUCAUGGAUAGAGUAGUGGAGAUUAAAGCCUCAGAAUCAUCUAAAAACCAGUUGAAUGCUAUUGGUUUGCAAUUUAUGAAUAACCUAUUUAUACAUAGUAUACAUUCAUAAUUCUUUCAAACCUUCCUUUACUUUUCAAAGUGGGUUGUGCUGGAUGUGUACCUCAAUUAGUUGAGCCGUAGAAAGAAACAUUCCUUAUUAUAAAUUGAUUUUAAAAUUUUACUGCUGCAGUCAUCCUCAAUCUCGGCAUCUGAAGGUCUGAAGUUGGAUAUGGAAUUGUAAGAACUGUCUUUAAUGAAAAAUAAGUAAAUGAUGGAAAUGUGAUAUUACUGAAGUGCUCAAAGGACAAUGGUGGUUUAUAUAAACUCUUAACUCUACAUACAUAUUCAGAGAUUGGUGUAAUAAACCACCUAUUGCAGAUUAUUUUGUGGCUGAUUUCUGUUGGAUCAUGUUUCUUAGUAUACAUAUUUCCAGAAGUAAGCUGACUGUCCAAAUUUUCCCUUCACUUUAUGAACAUUUGGCUUUUUGUUCUUUUAUGAAGUGAUUAGUUUUAUGAUUCAGUACAAUACACCAAUAAAUUUGUAGUUUUCCUUAUUUGUCAUCAUACCUUAUUUGGAAAUCUUAAAGAUCCAUGGGUUCAUUGCUGCAGGCAUUGUAAAUAAAACCACUCUGACAGUGUUAGAAGGAAAACAACCCAUCUGAGAAUUAAGCAAGAUGAACUAUUAGGCAUUUUAUUGGAGAUGGCCUUUAUUGGACAGAGUAAUUAGGCUUUUAUGGAGUUGUUCUUGGCAAAGCUACAUUACAACUUGUCAGUGCUUCUUUGCUUGAAUCUAGAUGUCAGGAAUUUUAGUAGAUUAGUGUUGUACACAAAAGUCCUUUAGGCAGUGCCAGAGUUUCUGAACUGAAAUAGUGCCAAAUCAAUUGUUGAGCCAGAAAGACAGACAGAUAUGUGGUUAAUACUCAGAUCUCCAGAGGACCCUUCUAUUUCCAGCUUUAUAAGUUGGCAUAAGUCUAAUCAGACACAGCACUACCUGUAUAUUCCAGGCCGUAUACAAUGAAAAAAUGCCAUCAUCUAUGAAAUCAUGCCCCUAACUUGAAUCAGAACUACCAGGUCAAAGCACAGAGGUGGACAGAUAGCUUUAAAGUACUUAACUGCUGUAAGUAACCCAAUCUAAGCCUUUGUUAAAAUCAUGGUUUGAUUGAAAUGUUUAACUAAAUAAAUGUAAAAUAACUUAAUUAAAGUUAACCUCGGAGUCAGAAACAGACAA